rnacentral:rRNA from 1 species
GCGGAGGGAUCAUUACCGAGUUUACAACUCCCAAACCCAAUGUGAACGUUACCAAACUGUUGCCUCGGCGGGAUCUCUGCCCCGGGUGCGUCGCAGCCCCGGACCAAGGCGCCCGCCGGAGGACCAACCAAAACUCUUAUUGUAUACCCCCUCGCGGGUUUUUUACUAUCUGAGCCAUCUCGGCGCCCCUCGUGGGCGUUUCGAAAAUGAAUCAAAACUUUCAACAACGGAUCUCUUGGUUCUGGCAUCGAUGAAGAACGCAGCGAAAUGCGAUAAGUAAUGUGAAUUGCAGAAUUCAGUGAAUCAUCGAAUCUUUGAACGCACAUUGCGCCCGCCAGUAUUCUGGCGGGCAUGCCUGUCCGAGCGUCAUUUCAACCCUCGAACCCCUCCGGGGGGUCGGCGUUGGGGAUCGGCCCUUUACGGGGCCGGCCCCGAAAUACAGUGGCGGUCUCGCCGCAGCCUCUCCUGCGCAGUAGUUUGCACACUCGCAUCGGGAGCGCGGCGCGUCCACAGCCGUUAAACACCCCAAACUUCUGAAAUGUUGACCUCGGAUCAGGUAGGAAUACCCGCUGAACUUAAGCAUA